CCUACGGGAGGCAGCAGUGAGGAAUAUUGGUCAAUGGACGAGAGUCUGAACCAGCCAAGUAGCGUGAAGGAUGACUGCCCUAUGGGUUGUAAACUUCUUUUAUAUGGGAAUAAAACGUUCCACGUGUGGGAUUUUGUAUGUACCAUAUGAAUAAGGAUCGGCUAACUCCGUGCCAGCAGCCGCGGUAAUACGGAGGAUCCGAGCGUUAUCCGGAUUUAUUGGGUUUAAAGGGAGCGUAGGUGGAUUGUUAAGUCAGUUGUGAAAGUUUGCGGCUCAACCGUAAAAUUGCAGUUGAAACUGGCAGUCUUGAGUACAGUAGAGGUGGGCGGAAUUCGUGGUGUAGCGGUGAAAUGCUUAGAUAGCACGAAGAACUCCGAUUGCGAAGGCAGUUCACUGGACUGCAACUGACACUGAGGCGCGAAAGUGUGGGUAUCAAACAGGAUUAGAUACCCCUGUAGUC
rnacentral:rRNA from 1 species